rnacentral:rRNA from 1 species
AUCCCUGCGCCUCAAGUGGUGACCAUGUUUAUUGGGCCUAAAGGAUCCGUAGCCGGACUAUUAAGUCCCUUGUGAAAUCGUGCAGCUUAACUGUACGGCGUGCAAGGGAUACUGAUAGUCUAGGGACCGGGAGGGGCCGAGGGUAUUCCUGGGGUAAGGGUUAAAUCUUAUAAUCCCAGGAGGACCAACGGUGGCGAAGGCGCUCGGCUAGAACGGGUCCGACGGUGAAUGGAUGAAAGCUGGGGGAGCGAAACGGAUUAGAUACCCCAGUAGUCC